rnacentral:rRNA from 1 species
AGAACGAACGCUGGCGGCAUGCCUAAUACAUGCAAGUCGAACGAGAUCUUCGGGUCUAGUGGCGCACGGGUGCGUAACGCGUGGGAAUCUACCCUUGGGUUCGGAAUAACAGUUGGAAACGACUGCUAAUACCGGAUGAUGACGAAAGUCCAAAGAUUUAUCGCCCAGGGAUGAGCCCGCGUAGGAUUAGCUAGUUGGUGAGGUAAAGGCUCACCAAGGCUACGAUCCUUAGCUGGUCUGAGAGGAUGAUCAGCCACA